GUGGGCUGGCUGGGGGUGUACGGGGCAGGUGGCUGCCGGCAGGGUUUGGUGGGGCUUCUUUAAAAAAUUCUUUUGCAAGUUUUUUCAACAGUGGGCUGGAGGUUGGAUGCAUAGUUUAGUGCCGAGUGUGGGCUUGGGUGUGGUAUGCAGAGGCGAGUGGUGGGGGGAGGCCAUGUGGUGAGGCCAGAUAACAAGCUGGGGUGAUGACCUAGUUACCAGGCGCGGAGAAGGACGGAUGUGUCCGUUUGACUCCCGGUGAGGCAACUGGCCUUACAGUUAGGAGCUGAAAGUAGUGUCAUAGAGCCCAGUGUCCAUGGAGCCAUGGACACUACUAAGGAGGGAGGAGCUGAGAGACCCCUGGCUUAAGAGACAUUAUUCUGGCCCCCAGGUGCACAUCCAACGUUGAUCCUUGAAGGCUGCCUACUGCAAACGCCUUCCUGUGUUCUCUGCCUGAGGGUUUUCUCUGACUUGCUCCUUCACAGACGAAAGCUACUUGGCAGUGUGCUUGCUGCCUGUUUCUUACUGCCUUUGGAGGGAUUACCUGGGGCAGCUUUGCAGAUGAGGGCACAUCAGUGCCUCAAGAUCCUUCAAGCACAUGGGCUGUGACUUCGUGCUUCUGUUGUCUUCUCUGGUAAGCAAAGGUACUUUGCUGUGAAGAG
rnacentral:lncRNA from 1 species